GCGUGCAGGACGAAGGCCUUCGGGUUGUAAACUGCUUUUGUACGGAACGAAAAGGUCUGCUUUAAUACAGUGGGCUCAUGACGGUACCGUAAGAAUAAGCACCGGCUAACUACGUGCCAGCAGCCGCGGUAAUACGUAGGGUGCGAGCGUUAAUCGGAAUUACUGGGCGUAAAGCGUGCGCAGGCGGUUAUAUAAGUCAGAUGUGAAAUCCCCGGGCUCAACCUGGGACCUGCAUUUGAGACUGUAUAGCUAGAGUACGGUAGAGGGGGAUGGAAUUCCGCGUGUAGCAGUGAAAUGCGU
rnacentral:rRNA from 1 species